rnacentral:lncRNA from 1 species
GGUUCUUGGCUGCCGUCAACGAGAGGUAUGCUGUGCGGACAUCGAGAGACCUGAACAGUCCAAUGUCGUCUUCUCCAUGAUCCACUCCGGGUGCAGAAUCUCUCUUGACAAUGUGCCGUUUCGAGUUGUCAAGGAAACCAUCAAAUUCUGCAUAUUUGGAACGGAAUACUAUAAGAAGACUCCAGGGGAAAACAAA